rnacentral:rRNA from 1 species
CCUACGGGGUGCACCAGUAGGGAAUCUUCGGCAAUGGACGAGAGUCUGACCGAGCAACGCCGCGUGAGUGAAGAAGGUUUUCGGAUCGUAAAACUCUGUUGUUAGAGAAGAACAAGGACGUUAGUAACUGAACGUCCCCUGACGGUAUCUAACCAGAAAGCCACGGCUAACUACGUGCCAGCAGCCGCGGUAAUACGUAGGUGGCAAGCGUUGUCCGGAUUUAUUGGGCGUAAAGCGAGCGCAGGCGGUUUCUUAAGUCUGAUGUGAAAGCCCCCGGCUCAACCGUGGAGGGUCAUUGGAAACUGGGGGACUUGAGUGCAGAAGAGGAGAGCGGAAUUCCACGUGUAGCGGUGAAAUGCGUAGAGAUGUGGAGGAACACCAGUGGCGAAGGCGGCUCUCUGGUCUGUAACUGACGCUGAGGCGCGAAAGCGUGGGGAGCAAACAGGAUUAGAUACCCGCGUAGUC